rnacentral:rRNA from 2 species
GACGCCGGCGGUGUGCCUAAUACAUGCAAGUCGAACGCGUUGGCCCAAUUGAUUGAUGGUGCUUGCACCUGAUUGAUUUUGGUCGCCAACGAGUGGCGGACGGGUGAGUAACACGUAGGUAACCUGCCCAGAAGCGGGGGACAACAUUUGGAAACAGAUGCUAAUACCGCAUAACAGCGUUGUUCGCAUGAACAACGCUUAAAAGAUGGCUUCUCGCUAUCACUUCUGGAUGGACCUGCGGUGCAUUAGCUUGUUGGUGGGGUAACGGCCUACCAAGGCGAUGAUGCAUAGCCGAGUUGAGAGACUGAUCGGCCACAAUGGGACUGAGACACGGCCCAUACUCCUACGGGAGGCAGCAGUAGGGAAUCUUCCACAAUGGGCGCAAGCCUGAUGGAGCAACACCGCGUGAGUGAAGAAGGGUUUCGGCUCGUAAAGCUCUGUUGUUAAAGAAGAACACGUAUGAGAGUAACUGUUCAUACGUUGACGGUAUUUAACCAGAAAGUCACGGCUAACUACGUGCCAGCAGCCGCGGUAAUACGUAGGUGGCAAGCGUUAUCCGGAUUUAUUGGGCGUAAAGAGAGUGCAGGCGGUUUUCUAAGUCUGAUGUGAAAGCCUUCGGCUUAACCGGAGAAGUGCAUCGGAAACUGGAUAACUUGAGUGCAGAAGAGGGUAGUGGAACUCCAUGUGUAGCGGUGGAAUGCGUAGAUAUAUGGAAGAACACCAGUGGCGAAGGCGGCUACCUGGUCUGCAACUGACGCUGAGACUCGAAAGCAUGGGUAGCGAACAGGAUUAGAUACCCUGGUAGUCCAUGCCGUAAACGAUGAGUGCUAGGUGUUGGAGGGUUUCCGCCCUUCAGUGCCGGAGCUAACGCAUUAAGCACUCCGCCUGGGGAGUACGACCGCAAGGUUGAAACUCAAAGGAAUUGACGGGGGCCCGCACAAGCGGUGGAGCAUGUGGUUUAAUUCGAAGCUACGCGAAGAACCUUACCAGGUCUUGACAUCUUGCGCCAACCCUAGAGAUAGGGCGUUUCCUUCGGGAACGCAAUGACAGGUGGUGCAUGGUCGUCGUCAGCUCGUGUCGUGAGAUGUUGGGUUAAGUCCCGCAACGAGCGCAACCCUUGUUACUAGUUGCCAGCAUUAAGUUGGGCACUCUAGUGAGACUGCCGGUGACAAACCGGAGGAAGGUGGGGACGACGUCAGAUCAUCAUGCCCCUUAUGACCUGGGCUACACACGUGCUACAAUGGACGGUACAACGAGUCGCGAACUCGCGAGGGCAAGCAAAUCUCUUAAAACCGUUCUCAGUUCGGACUGCAGGCUGCAACUCGCCUGCACGAAGUCGGAAUCGCUAGUAAUCGCGGAUCAGCAUGCCGCGGUGAAUACGUUCCCGGGCCUUGUACACACCGCCCGUCACACCAUGAGAGUUUGUAACACCCAAAGUCGGUGGGGUAACCUUUUAGGAGCCAGCCGCCUAAGGUGGGACAGAUGAUUAGGGUGAAG